UGGGGAAUAUUGCACAAUGGAGGAAACUCUGAUGCAGCGACGCCGCGUGGAGGAAGAAGGUCUUCGGAUUGUAAACUCCUGUUGUUGAGGACGAUAAUGACGGUACUCAACAAGGAAGUGACGGCUAACUACGUGCCAGCAGCCGCGGUAAAACGUAGGUCACAAGCGUUGUCCGGAAUUACUGGGUGUAAAGGGAGCGCAGGCGGGAAUGCAAGUUGGGAGUGAAAUCUACGGGCUCAACCCGUAAACUGCUCUCAAAACUGUAUUUCUUGAGUAGUGCAGAGGUAGGCGGAAUUCCCGGUGUAGCGGUGGAAUGCGUAGAUAUCGGGAGGAACACCAGUGGCGAAGGCGGCCUACUGGGCACCAACUGACGCUGAGGCUCGAAAGUGUGGGUAGCAAACAGGAUUA
rnacentral:rRNA from 1 species